CAGGAAUAGAGCCCUCCUGAAGGGCUUCUGUCCUCUUUCAGGGGACCAAAAUGCAGCUGCCUUGUUCCUUCUAUGUGAGACAAAGCAAGAAGUGAAUCACAGGCUUUUUGGACAGGGAGAGGGAGAGGGCAAGAUGUAGCUAUUAGUGUCUUCCAUUUAUAUGGCAAGCAAGCUGAGGAACCCAUGAAGAGCAAGUCGGAAAGUAUCUUUUGAUACAGAAGCCAGAAAUUCUUCCACGGUUGCUGCCUCUGUUCCUGCUUGAGUUCCUGCCCCGAUUUCCCUCAGGAAGGGCUCUGUAAUCACGAUGUGUAAAGCAAGCAACCCCAUUUCUCUCCAGUUUAAACCACCACCACCACAACAAAAUAUUUGGCAUAGCGGUAGAAAGCCGGCCAAUCCAGUGAUGCAUCCAGAGAGGACAAAGAGGGACACCCCCUCUUCUCCACAUCUCACAGUGUAAACGUCUUUACUGAUGGGUUUUUAUAAUCAUAUAUCCUUCAUAAUAAACCAGUUAAGUGCCU
rnacentral:lncRNA from 1 species